UUAUUAUAAAAUAUUUCAAUUUGAGAUGGGAUGCAAAGUGGGGGCCCAAAAAGAAUGCUGUGGCUACUUAGCGCUACUCUUACUUACAAAAGGCCCAAGUUGAAGAAAAUACUGUAGCAAAGUGUUCUAUGAUCAGAAACAGCUCGUACUAGGAAUCAAGAACUUCUGCUCUUUCCAAAUCCUCGUACAAGCCUCAAAAUUCUUGAGGUUUUACUAUAAACCUGGAACAAUUCAAGACGCGGAGAAGCUGCUCGAAGAAAUUUCCGAGAAGAACGUCAUUGCAUGGUCGAUCAUGAUUCAUGGGUGACGGAUGAUCCCUGGAAUCUUUUCCCUGUAUGAGAGUUUUAGAGACUAUGUGAAUCAAUCAUGGGCUAGUUUUCAAUACGUUUGUUAGUAAUUCUGUUCUUGACAUGCAUUCAAGCUUGAUUAAUUUGGAUGCUGCCACUAAAAUAUUCAAUGAGAUGGAAAACAAAGAUGUUAUCAGUUGGACAACAAUGAUUGGUUUACUGGUGCACCUUUUGUAGGUGUGUGAAUGUGGAACUUGCUCACGUUGUGUUCGAGGAGAUGAUGUAGUCUCCUGGAAUGCACUUACAAAUGGGUAUGGGAUCAAUGGUAGUGGGGAAACUCCUGUUCAUUUUGAGUGCUUGUAAGUCAUUUCAGAAUUGAUGCAUGAUGGUUUGGUCAGUUUGACAUGCACUUUGAUGCAAACCAAAUGAGGACUGAACUAAACUCAAUCAAGUAUUAUUUCCUGAUGUCCCAUUGAAGGUGUCAACUUCAUCAACAUUGCACCAAAAAUGGGCGUGAAAUAUCAUUGGUGAUGCAAACUUGAUGAUGAUGAUCAGCAAGAGGAUUUAGAAAGCUUGACCUUUAAGAGCUGAAGAGUAGAAAAACUACCGGUGGGAGAACGGAAGGCUGUCAAAUGUGUUGAAUCAGUUUUCGAUUUGCCAAAGUCAAACUACAUUAAUUGGUGGGGCACCUCUUGGAUGGCUACGGCAUUGUUAAAACAUGCUUUUCCCAGUGAACAUUGAGCUCAAGAAAUUUCCAGAAGUUGCUUUUUUAUGGAACUGUGGUUGAGAUAUUUCAAUAAACCUUUCUUAACUACUUAAUCUAAUCAAUACAAUGACUAAGUUCAGUGUUUCUUGCAGAGAUGGGCUGCUUUAAAUGCCUACUAUAACCACAGGCAAAGUGUAACAAAAUUAUACAGUGUUGUUUGCAGGCCCAUCUAGUGUGCUGCUUUGUGGCGAAGGCUCUAAACAUGAGGAUUGCAGACAUUCUUACAUCCAAUUGGAACUAUGUCUGGGCUAUUGAUAUCAUGUUUCUGAAAUCUCUACAACUGGUUGGCUUGUUCUCUCCUUUAGAAGGCAGAGUUUCUACUCUUAUUCUUUUUGUUUUCUCUGCAGCCUCUACUUUCAUCCUUAUAUUUCUCACCCGCCUUGUCGACGCAAUAACAAUCCUUCACUUUUCUUCAGACCCAGUUUGCAUCAAGAGCUGCAAAGGAGGCAUAUGCUGGCAUAGUUUUCCACAAUUGCCAUAAUUCAUCCAAUGAAUACAUUAUAGGGUUGGUAUAGUUCUUACAUUCCCCACAAUAUGAUGUUGGUUUUGUUUAUGAUCUUCGAUGUGAUAGUAAAAAUCUUCAGCUGGUUGGCAUAUGUUUGGAAUCAACGAUUUUAAAUUUGUAAACUAUAUUAUGCAUAA